rnacentral:lncRNA from 1 species
GUGUUUCUAUGAUUUGUUAAUACUGUUCUCAGCAAAGAAAAAGAAACAGACACCACCACAGCUUUAAGCUGUGGAAAAAAAACUGCGAAGUCUUGAGUGCAUAAAUGAGGUGGAUAAAUACUUAAAAUUUCAACUGAAAUCAUUACAGUGCUCUGAAGUUAUUUUCUGAUCCACUUCUAAAGGAUUCAUUCUGCAAACCACCUGUCACCUGCAAAUCUAAAUCACAGGUAAUGCUCAACCGGGAGACCACUGCAUUUUUGGUUGUGUUCAGCCAGCUGGAAAACAAAUCUACACUUUACUGCAUUAGACAACCUUUGUGGAAAAGACAGAAACAUUUCUGGUAUGAGACUUUCCUCACCAAAGAAAACCCAGCAAGGAAUUCUGCAACCAAGCAAGAAUCCCAAUCAACUUUCCAUUCUUCAAAACCAGUGCCCUUUAUUCUUCAACUGCUUUCAUCCAAAAUCUCCUAUGAACUCCAGCAAUGAGACUGCAAGUUCAACUGGACACAAUGCCAUUCAUGUGCAACCACUGAACUCCAGCCUUUCUAGCGCUUAAUGCAGCAAUUACAAAAGCCUCAUGAACACACUGGUGUUACAAGACAGGACAAGGACUUCAAAAGGGGGAAACAUUUGGAAAGAUUUCAAUAUCUCUUCUGUACAUUUACAGAAUGACCUUAAAGUGUGUUUUGUUUCCUGCAUUUAUUUUAUUCUUCACUGUUAAUGAAAAUUACACAUACUUAAGUUGUUCUUUAAGUGAAAAAAGAACAGAUGUAAAAAUAAUUUAUGUGACCUUGGCAUAGCAAUCUCUGAGUUUUCUUGAAAACUUUACUUUCAUAAGAAAGGCCUAAUAAUUUUU